AAAUUUGAAUGAUGCCUCGCCGGCGCGAUGGCCGUGCGAUCCAUCGAGUUAUCAUGAAUCAUCGCAGCAACGGGCAGAGCCUGCGUUGACCUUUUAUCUAAUAAAUGCAUCCCUUCUAGAAGUCGGGGUUUGUUGCACGUAUUAGCUCUAGAAUUACUACGGUUAUCCGAGUAGUAGAUACCAUCAAACAAACUAUAACUGAUUUAAUGAGCCAUUCGUAGUUUCACAGUCUGAAUUUGUUCAUACUUACACAUGCAUGGCUUAAUCUUUGAGAUAAGCAUAUGACUACCGGCAGGACCAGCCAGGUAGCAUUCCUCAUUGACGCCGGCGUCGCAUGAGCGUGGCCGACCCAAAAGGGUACGACAAGGUCCAACGCAAGCACGACCGUCCUUCGUAAGAAGCAUUCUUUGGGCAGAUAGAAGCCAAUGAAGGCCCCGUGCCCAUUGCGUUUACCGAAUCCGAGAGCCCGAGCAUGCAAAGUCGUGGACCAAGCCAUCCCAAGGCAAAGCCAGGAUGACCUGGGACACAACUGCAGCUUUUGGUUCACCCGGCACGUCGAACGCGAAGGGCGAAAAGGCGACCGAUUGUGCUUGAUAAUGCCUUGGCCUAGGUAUGCAACACAGAAAACCGACGUUGAACGAGCCUAAUUUACGCUUGUGACAUGACUGAGAUGGCAUGCGAGCUAGGACGGUGCUGCUCGAACAGCGAUCCAACCUAGCCACGCAAGCCGAACACUACUCAUGUGUCGCAUGUACACUUGCCUCGCCGAUACAAAGCCAACACCAGCCCCAACAUGUGACGCGCAGCCAUGUGUUGUUGCCGAUGCCAACAUUGCAAAGCCAAGACAAGCCCCGCAAAGCACGAAUAGGGGGUUUGAACAAUGCCAGACACAACGUCGCCUCCCGAUGUUUCCUGCGACAACCGAUGGCACUGAACAUCUAGUGAGCUUCGCCCCGUGCGCACAGCACCUUGCGGUUCUACUUGGACGAUGCUCCGCCGUUCGUUGUCAAAAUCCAUAAGCUGCCAUGGAGUGGGGUUUACAGACACAACCCACAACAAUCGAUGGCAAUAGGCAACUUACUAAGCUUCGCCCCAUGCGCACGGCACCUUGCGGCGCUACUUGCACGAUGCUCCACCAUUCCAUUGCCGAAAGCCAUCAACCGCCAUGAUCGAUGUUGGCCGCAACAACCGAUAGCAAUUCACAUCUACUGAGCUUCGCCCCAUGCGCACGGCACCUUGCGGCGCUACUUGCACGACGCUUUGCCGUUCUGUUGUAAAAAGCCAUCAACCGCCACGAGCGAUGUCGCCUCCCGAUUUUGGCGGCAACAUCCAAUGGCGAUAAACAAGUACUAAGCUUCGCCCCAUGCGCACGGCACCUUGCACCGCUACUUUCAUGACGUUGCACCGUUCAUUGCCAAAAGCCAAUGUUUGCCACGAGCGGUGCCACCACUAGGCGUACUACGAGCCCACACGAGUACUUGCCGGCACGGUUUGGGAACAUCGAGAACGUAGCACGGACAAGCCGUGCAUGCCCCCAAUGCCCACGCCCCAUGCCAGCGUUCCCCAUGCAUGCCCGCCCCUUCCUGGCAGCAAGCACCUGAGGUGCCUCUCAACACCUCUACCCCCCUUAUAUAUACUUAAAAAAACCCAAGUUUCAGGAGUACACAUGUUUUGGCCAGAGAAUCAUAAUAGACAUGUACAACACCAAAUAGCACAAAAAAAUGUACAACUUGGCUAAGAUAUUCACAAAUGACUUUUGAACAUUGUAAAUGAAAGCAAAAAUCAAAGUACAACUUGGCUAAUAAAUUCACAAAUGACUUUUAAACGUUGUAUAUGAUAUUUUUUACAAAAAAUAAUAUUUUUUUUGAAUUGAUUUUGUUUGAAAACGAAAAAUACUUAAUAAAAUACUAAUAAAUAUGAGAAUUAUAAUAAAAAUAGAAAAAAUGAUGGAGAAUAAUUCCAAUACAACUUGUAAUAGAAUAACAUAUAAAAGCGUAAAUAUUUUUAUUAAAAAGUGACAUAAACAUAAUUUAAAAUAACAAAAAAUGCAUAAAAAUUACUAAAAUAUAUAUUAAAAAUAGGAAAAAUACAUAAUAUUAUUACAAAAGCGCAUAGAUGACCAACCGGAAAUAAGCACGAGGCACCUCCAUUGUCGCAACCACAACAAGUGAUUCCGAUUUGAAAAAACCGCUGCCAAACACAAAGCGUCGAGCAACCGUCGCCGUUGGAUACCGCUCGAGCCACCACGACUUUCCACCACUGCCACCAACGACCACCAACAUCAUUAUGCUUGACGUGUUGCCCAACCACAACAAGUGAUUAGGAUGUGAAGAAACCGCCGCCAACCACCAAGAGUCGACCGGCUGUCGCCCGACGCUACCGCUCGAACCAACCCGACUUUCCACCACCGCCGUCAACUACCACCAACAUCAUUGCGCUUGACAUGUUUCUAAGAAUUAGUUAGCAAUAGACGUGGUGCGACGUGGUGCGGCUUGGAGCG
rnacentral:lncRNA from 1 species